rnacentral:rRNA from 1 species
UAAAAUUUAUAAAAUUAGGUAGUAAAGGAAUUUCUGAAACCUAAAGAAUUUGGCGGUAUUUUAAAUAAUUGGAGGAACCUGUUAUUUAAUUGACAAUCCACAACAUAUCUUUCCUAGGUUUUAUUUGUAUAUCGUCGUUUUGAUAAUAUUUAAAAAUUAUAAUCAACAUUAAUAAAUUUUUAAAAAUCAGAUCAAGGUGCAGUAUAUUUAGGUUAUAAUGGGUUACAAUAUAUGGAUAUAUGUAAUGGAUAUAAGCUUGAAAUAAUAUUGAAAGUGGAUUCAAAAGUAAUAUUAAAUUAAAAUGUUAAUUUGAUUAAUAAUUUAAAAUAUGC